CGGGGAGCUCCAGAUAGUACUUCGAAGGAACUCCAUACUGAACCCUUAUCAGUAGGAGUUCAUCUGGAGUCAGAGAACAAGGAAUGGCACCCGACGCAAAAAUUGGGCGAAGCCCAGCCCCAGAUGUGGGUUCGUCUACAGUGUGGGGGUCCUGGGGGGCUGAGGCGGACGAACUCCCGGAACCGCUAGAGGCGGAGGUGUCGGAAGACAUUUCAAAUGAGAACCCUAAAAAUCUUGAAGAAAUCAGGUGGAACAAGAGGCAA
rnacentral:lncRNA from 1 species